GGUUAAGCGACUAAGCGUACACGGUGGAUGCCCUGGCAGUCAGAGGCGAUGAAGGACGUGCUAAUCUGCGAAAAGCGUCGGUAAGGUGAUAUGAACCGUUAUAACCGGCGAUGUCCGAAUGGGGAAACCCAGUGCAAUUCGUUGCACUAUCGUUAACUGAAUACAUAGGUUAACGAGGCGAACCGGGGGAACUGAAACAUCUAAGUACCCCGAGGAAAAGAAAUCAACCGAGAUUCCCCCAGUAGCGGCGAGCGAACGGGGAGCAGCCCAGAGUCUGAAUCAGCUUGUGUGUUAGUGGAACGGUCUGGAAAGUCCGACGGUACAGGGUGAUAGUCCCGUACACCAAAAUGCACAGGCUGUGAACUCGAAGAGUAGGGCGGGACACGUGGUAUCCUGUCUGAAUAUGGGGGGGACCAUCCUCCAAGGCUAAAUACUCCUGACUGACCGAUAGUGAACCAGUACCGUGAGGGAAAGGCGAAAAGAACCCCGGCGAGGGGAGUGAAAAAGAACCUGAAACCGUGUACGUACAAGCAGUGGGAGCACCUUCGGGUGUGACUGCGUACCUUUUGUAUAAUGGGUCAGCGACUUAUAUUCUGUAGCAAGGUUAACCGUAUAGGGGAGCCGCAGGGAAACCGAGUCUUAACUGGGCGUUAAGUUGCAGGGUAUAGACCCGAAACCCGGUGAUCUAGCCAUGGGCAGGUUGAAGGUUGGGUAACACUAACUGGAGGACCGAACCGACUAAUGUUGAAAAAUUAGCGGAUGACUUGUGGCUGGGGGUGAAAGGCCAAUCAAACCGGGAGAUAGCUGGUUCUCCCCGAAAGCUAUUUAGGUAGCGCCUCGUGAACUCAUCUUCGGGGGUAGAGCACUGUUUCGGCUAGGGGGUCAUCCCGACUUACCAACCCGAUGCAAACUACGAAUACCGAAGAAUGUUAUCACGGGAGACACACGGCGGGUGCUAACGUCCGUCGUGAAGAGGGAAACAACCCAGACCGCCAGCUAAGGUCCCAAAGUCAUGGUUAAGUGGGAAACGAUGUGGGAAGGCACAGACAGCCAGGAUGUUGGCUUAGAAGCAGCCAUCAUUUAAAGAAAGCGUAAUAGCUCACUGGUCGAGUCGGCCUGCGCGGAAGAUGUAACGGGGCUAAACCAUGCACCGAAGCUGCGGCAGCGACACUAUGUGUUGUUGGGUAGGGGAGCGUUCUGUAAGCCUGCGAAGGUGACCUGUGAGGGUUGCUGGAGGUAUCAGAAGUGCGAAUGCUGACAUAAGUAACGAUAAAGCGGGUGAAAAGCCCGCUCGCCGGAAGACCAAGGGUUCCUGUCCAACGUUAAUCGGGGCAGGGUGAGUCGACCCCUAAGGCGAGGCCGAAAGGCGUAGUCGAUGGGAAACAGGUUAAUAUUCCUGUACUUGGUGUUACUGCGAAGGGGGGACGGAGAAGGCUAUGUUAGCCGGGCGACGGUUGUCCCGGUUUAAGCAUGUAGGCUGGUUAUCCAGGCAAAUCCGGAUAAUCAAGGCUGAGGUGUGAUGACGAGGCACUACGGUGCUGAAGUAACAAAUGCCCUGCUUCCAGGAAAAGCCUCUAAGCAUCAGGUAACAUCAAAUCGUACCCCAAACCGACACAGGUGGUCAGGUAGAGAAUACCAAGGCGCUUGAGAGAACUCGGGUGAAGGAACUAGGCAAAAUGGUGCCGUAACUUCGGGAGAAGGCACGCUGGUGUGUAGGUGAAGCCCCUGCGGGUGGAGCUGAGACCAGUCGAAGAUACCAGCUGGCUGCAACUGUUUAUUAAAAACACAGCACUGUGCAAACACGAAAGUGGACGUAUACGGUGUGACGCCUGCCCGGUGCCGGAAGGUUAAUUGAUGGGGUUAUCCGUAAGGAGAAGCUCUUGAUCGAAGCCCCGGUAAACGGCGGCCGUAACUAUAACGGUCCUAAGGUAGCGAAAUUCCUUGUCGGGUAAGUUCCGACCUGCACGAAUGGCGUAAUGAUGGCCAGGCUGUCUCCACCCGAGACUCAGUGAAAUUGAACUCGCUGUGAAGAUGCAGUGUACCCGCGGCAAGACGGAAAGACCCCGUGAACCUUUACUAUAGCUUGACACUGAACAUUGAGCCUUGAUGUGUAGGAUAGGUGGGAGGCUUUGAAGCGUGGACGCCAGUCUGCGUGGAGCCAACCUUGAAAUACCACCCUUUAAUGUUUGAUGUUCUAACGUUGGCCCCUGACCGGGGUUGCGGACAGUGUCUGGUGGGUAGUUUGACUGGGGCGGUCUCCUCCCAAAGCGUAACGGAGGAGCACGAAGGUUAGCUAAUCCUGGUCGGACAUCAGGAGGUUAGUGCAAUGGCAUAAGCUAGCUUGACUGCGAGCGUGACGGCGCGAGCAGGUGCGAAAGCAGGUCAUAGUGAUCCGGUGGUUCUGAAUGGAAGGGCCAUCGCUCAACGGAUAAAAGGUACUCCGGGGAUAACAGGCUGAUACCGCCCAAGAGUUCAUAUCGACGGCGGUGUUUGGCACCUCGAUGUCGGCUCAUCACAUCCUGGGGCUGAAGUAGGUCCCAAGGGUAUGGCUGUUCGCCAUUUAAAGUGGUACGCGAGCUGGGUUUAGAACGUCGUGAGACAGUUCGGUCCCUAUCUGCCGUGGGCGCUGGAGAAUUGAGGGGGGCUGCUCCUAGUACGAGAGGACCGGAGUGGACGCAUCACUGGUGUUCGGGUUGUCAUGCCAAUGGCACUGCCCGGUAGCUAAAUGCGGAAGAGAUAAGUGCUGAAAGCAUCUAAGCACGAAACUUGCCCCGAGAUGAGUUCUCCCUGAGACUAUAAGUCUCCUGAAGGAACGUUAAAGACGAUGACGUUGAUAGGCCGGGUGUGUAAGCGCAGCGAUGCGUUGAGCUAACCGGUACUAAUGAACCGUGAGGCUUAACCUU
rnacentral:rRNA from 1 species